rnacentral:lncRNA from 1 species
UAUUUUUCCAUAUUUGUAGAUACUGUGUUGUUCUCUUUCUAAUCCAAUAGCCAGUAUAGGAAAAAACUAACAAAAACACCUAUAAAUCGCGAUUUGUUAAACCCAGUAUCUUCAAUUUUCCUCAAAUUACCAAGAAAAAACAAAGUAUCCAACAUAAACAAUCCGAAAACCCACGCAGAAAAACACAGCAUCUGCAAUGGACCAAUUAGAAAUGCACAUUUAAAAUAUAUGAUUUGUAGAUACUGCAUUUUUUACUUUGGUUAGAUAAUAAUGCAUGCAAUGCAUUGUUGUGAUACUUGAUAUGGCAUCAUACUAUAGCAUUACUGUAUGACAAUUUUAACAGCAAACAUCCAUGCCAUUGUUGAAUUGAGGGAUAUAGGAAGACUCUUGUGGAUAUGAAUAUAUCACUCCACAUGCCCAAGAAUAAUAAAUGUGGAGAUUGCUUGAACUUUGAGAUUGCUGCAAAAGAUGUGACAAAGUGAGGGGAAGAAUUAGAGGAGGAGAUGAAGAAAUUGAAAGAACACAACCAAAUGGCUCAGAACGUCAAAUUGAAUUACAAGCAAGACAAGGAAAUCCAUGAAACAGACACAAGGGACCAUGGAUCUUCAAAAAGUUCUGCUACUUACCAUCAUGCCUUAUCUAAGGAGGCAUUCUUUUUAAGCAAGCUUGUUUUUUACAACACAUUUGCCUCAAUCCAGAAAAAAUGCUUAUUAUAAAACUUAUUGAUCACUUUAAUAUGAAGCCAUAUGGGGCUGAAUGACAGAUUCCAUCAUUGAUGCUUUUAUAUGCAGUUGUCAAGAAGGAACAAGAUGUGAAACAUUUUGUUUUUUUGGGCUGACAACUAUUCAGUCCA